AUGCUGAUGGCGAUUUCUCCUAGAUUAAAUGAAAUUUUUUGGUUUGAUUCACUUGGUCAUGGGCAAACAUAUAAUGGGAACGUGUAUGGCUGCAACAAGCAUGAUGAGUGGAAAGAAACAAUCUCGUCCACCGAAAUGGACUACAUGUUUGUGUCCUAUACAAAAAGGAAGCACCGAAUGUGGUUAUUAUGUGAUGAAAUUCAUGUGG